rnacentral:lncRNA from 1 species
CGCGCACACAGACCCCAGGCUACACAGUUGAUUCACACAGCGUCUCUCCCGCUAACCGUAAUAAACACUGCUGGGAAAAGUUCAGCUGCGCUGCCAUGGAGAACAAAACUCUAUUUUUUUUUUUAUUCAGACAAUUUGUUUUUUUUCCUCAGCAUUUCAUUUUUUACUCAGUAAUGGGGAGUUUUCCAAAGUACCGGUAGUUAAGUAUAUUACUUGUGUCAAAAUGAACUUGAGUAAAAGAAAAAAAAUAACCUAAUUUAAAAACUACUUUAAAAAUUACAAAUUACUCAUAAAAUCUUCUCAAUUACAGUAAUGUGAGUAAAUGUAAUUAGUUACUUUCCACCUCUGGUGCUGAGUUAUAGUUUUGCAAUGCUGCUAAUGAAGAUUAAAUAAAAAGAUGCUGUUUUUAACAGGUACAAGUUCUGGGCUGGAGUUUCCCUGUUCUAUUGGGACUUACAGUGGUGAUUUAGGACUGUCCAGUAAAGAGCAGUGUGUCCCCUGUCCUGCUGGACGGUACUGCGCUUCCUCUGGCCUUUCUUCUCCCACUGCCGACUGCUCUCCUGGCUACCUGUGCAUCCAGGGAGCCACUGUUUCACAGCCUCCUGGAGACGCUACAGGAAGAAGAUGCUCAGCAGGCUUCUACUGCCCUGCAGGAACCAAUCAUAUGCGGCCCUGCCCACCAGGAACAUUCAGCUCAUUAGAAGGAGCAGCAUCUUCAGAGGAGUGUCAGCCCUGCACUCCUGGUCAGUUCUGUGCAGAAUAUGGGUUGAGUUCCCCGUCUGGACCCUGCAGUCCUGGAUAUUACUGCACCCUCAAAGCCAGCUCCCAGACUCCUCACCAGAACAGAAGCACCGAGUUGAAAGAGCGUGCACAUUACCCGGAAGAUGAGCAUCUGGAUCUGGUUCAGAUCACUGGUGAUAUCUGUGCACGAGGACACUACUGUCCAAGUGGGAGUUCUCAGCCAUUGCCGUGCCCACCAGGGACGUUUCUGGGCCGGCGUGGUGCCGUCUCUGAGUCUGACUGUGUCCCGUGUCUUCCUGGCUUUUACUGCCCUGCCUGGGGGCAGAACUCUGUCGAGAUUGGCUGCCCUGAGGGCUGGUUCUGCCCUGCAGGCUCUGUCAUUGGACGUGAACCUGGUAGGCUCUUCAGAAACACCCGUCUGUUUUAAAUUAAGUAAAUCUAGCUAUUUAUAGACGCUCCC